AGAGCGAACGCUGGCGGCAGGCCUAACACAUGCAAGUCGAGCGGCCGUAGCAAUACGGCAGCGGCAGACGGGAGAGUAACACGUGGGAACGUACCCUUCGGUUCGGAAUAACUCAGGGAAACUUGAGCUAAUACCGGAUACGUCCGUAAGGAGAAAGAUUUAUCGCCGAGGGAUCGGCCCGCGUCCGAUUAGCUAGUUGGUGGGGUAAUGGCCCACCAAGGCGACGAUCGGUAGCUGGUCUGAGAGGAUGAUCAGCCUCACUGGGACUGAGACACGGCCCAGACUCCUACGGGAGGCAGCAGUGGGGAAUAUGGACAAUGGGCGCAAGCCUGAUCCAGCCAUGCCGCGUGGGUGAUGAAGGCCCUAGGGUUGUAAAGCCCUUUCGGCGGGGAAGAUAAUGACGGUACCCGCAGAAGAAGCCCCGGCUAACUUCGUGCCAGCAGCCGC
rnacentral:rRNA from 1 species